AUUGAACGCUGGCGGCAGGCCUAACACAUGCAAGUCGAGCGGAUGAAGGGAGCUUGCUCCUGGAUUCAGCGUCGGACGGGUGAGUAAUGCCUAGGAAUCUGCCUGGUAGUGGGGGAUAACGUCCGGAAACGGGCGCUAAUACCGCAUACGUCCUGAGGGAGAAAGAGGGGAAUCUUCGGAACUCACGCUCUCAGAUGCGCCUAGGUCGGAUUAGCUAGUUGGUGGGGUAAAGGCCUACCAAGGCGACGUACCGUAACUGGUCUGAGAGGAUGAUCAGUCACACUGGAACUGAGACACGGUCCAGACUCCUACGGGAGGCAGCAGUGGGGAAUAUUGGACAAUGGGCGAAAGCCUGAUCCAGCCAUGCCGCGUGUGUGAAGAAGGUCUUCGGAUUGUAAAGCACUUUAAGUUGGGAGGAAGGGCAGUAAGUUAAUACCUUGCUGUUUUGACGGUACCAUCAGAAUAAGCACCGGCUAACUUCGUG
rnacentral:rRNA from 1 species